rnacentral:rRNA from 1 species
CAGGUCAGGCGGGGCUACCCGCUGAGUUUAGC